rnacentral:rRNA from 1 species
AGUGAACGCUGGCGGUAGGCCUAACACAUGCAAGUCGAACGGCAGCACAGGAGAGCUUGCUCUCUGGGUGGCGAGUGGCGGACGGGUGAGGAAUACAUCGGAAUCUACUCUGUCGUGGGGGAUAACGUAGGGAAACUUACGCUAAUACCGCAUACGACCUACGGGUGAACGCAGGGGACCUUCGUGCCUUGCGCGAUUGAAUGAGCCGAUGUCGGAUUAGCUAGUUGGCGGGGUAAGGGCCCACCAAGUCGACGAUCCGUAGCUGGUCUGAGAGGAGGAUCAGCCGCACUGGAACUGAGACACGGUCCAGACUCCUACGGGAGGCAGCAGUGGGGAAUAUUGGACAAUGGGCGCAAGCCUGAUCCAGCCAUACCGCGUGGGUGAAGAAGGCCUUCGGGUUGUAAAGCCCUUUUGUUGGGAAAGAAAUCCAGCUGGCUAAUACCCGGUUGGGAUGACGGUACCCAAAGAAUAAGCACCGGCUAACUUCGUGCCAGCCGCCGCCGUAA